CAGCCCCGCGCAGCCGGACACGAGUACCAGGAGUGAAAAUCCUAAUGGUUUUUCUUUCUCCAAAUAAUUACUCGGAGCCCAGUGCGAUGUCCAGCCCAGGGCAGGCAGGAGAUUGGAGAGAAAAGGCCUUCCUGGGGAAGGGGGAGGUGAGAACAAGUCCUUUAAGCCAGAGUGAGAAUUUAUUCUGUUUUAAUAGUCUGAAUUGCAAUAACUCACCUGAGGUGCAUGCAGAACAAAGGGGAUGCUGUGGUUGCUGGCUGAUACUGUGAGUAAAAGUGACCUUAUUUGUUUGGUUUACUGCAUUUACAGACACACAAAAAACCCUUGUGAAACUCAGAUGUCUGAGUAUGUACUUCAUCUUAGCCCUUCUCAUUUCCCCUGUCUAGCUAAAAUAUUGAUGAAGUUUUCUUAGUUUUUUCUCCAAACAGAUUCUCUAGUAUUUCAUAUUGCAGCAGUAGUGCUGGUAUGGAGAUAAGCUACAUCAUGUUACAUCCUGGAAUCCAUGCAGGUUGUACAGGUCAUUUUGCUUAAUGCCAUUUAAGAACAAACAAGUCAACCAAACAAUGUCAGAAAACUGCUUUGCAGUGUUAUCAACACGUUGAUUUUUUUUUCAGUAAAUUUUGGAGGCUAUGAGGUGAGUGAUAGCUGUUCAUCUUUUUCACUCACAGACAAGAACUUUGGUCUAUGUCAAAGGCUUUACUGAAAUCCAGAUAGAUGACAUGAGUGGCUCUUCCACAUAAAAGGUACUAAAUCAUACCUUGUACCUUAUAGACAAAAUAGUGAUGUACCACACUGCAUGUACUUGCUUUUAGGGGAAAUCGUAGAACUGUGGGAUGGUUUUGGUUGGAAAGGCCCUUAAAGACUAUCUAGUUCCAACCAUCUGCUGCUGCAGGUUGGUUGUCCCCCACCAGAUCAGGUUGCCCAGGGCCCCAUUCCACCCGGCCUUGAGCACCUCCAGGAUGGCACAU
rnacentral:lncRNA from 1 species